rnacentral:tRNA from 1 species
GUCUAAAUAGCUUAAUUUAAAAGUAUAACAUUGAAGAUGUUAGGAUGAUUGUAAAUCUUUGGAUA